rnacentral:rRNA from 1 species
CUACGGGUUGCUCCAGUUGAGGAAAUUUUACAAUGCUCGAAAGAGUGAUAAAAUAAGCCAGAGUGUUUCUCUUAGAGAAACUUUUGUCUGCUGUAAAAAGGCAGACGAAUAAGGACUGGGCAAGACCGGUGCCAGCCGCCGCGGUAAUACCGGCGGUCCGAGUCGCAUCCACAUUUAUUGGGUCUAAAACAUCCGUAGCUUGCUUUGUAAGUCUCUUGUGAAAUCUCACAUCUCAAGUGUGAGGCGUGCAAGAGGUACUGCAUCGCUAGAGACCGGAAGACGUAAGGAGUACGAUUGAGGUAGCGGUAAAAUGUGUUAAUCUUAAUCGGACUAACAAUGGCGAAGGCAUCUUACGAGUACGGAUCUGACAGUGAGGGAUGAAGGCUAGGGGCGCAAAAGGGAUUAGAUACCCCGGUAGUC